UGCUAGAAAGUUCAGCAAAUGACAGAAAGGU
rnacentral:piRNA from 1 species